rnacentral:rRNA from 1 species
UACGUAGGGCGCAAGCGUUAUCCGGAAUUAUUGGGCGUAAAGAGCUCGUAGGCGGUUUGUCGCGUCUGCCGUGAAAGUCCGGGCUCAACUCCGGAUCUGCGGUGGGUACGGGCAGACUAGAGUGUGGUAGGGGAGACUGGAAUUCCUGGUGUAGCGGUGGAAUGCGCAGAUAUCAGGAGGAACACCAAUGGCGAAGGCAGAUCUCUGGGCCGUAACUGACGCUGAGGAGCGAAAGCAUGGGGAGCGAACAGG